rnacentral:rRNA from 1 species
UACGUAGGUGGCAAGCGUUAUCCGGAUUUAUUGGGUUUAAAGGGUGCGUAGGCGGCUUGAUAAGUCAGUGGUUAAAGGUAGCAGCUUAACUGUUUUACAUGCCACUGAUACUGUUGAGCUUGAGUUGACAGAAGGCAGAUAGAAUUUCUGGUGUAGCGGUGAAAUGCUUAGAUACCAGAAGGAAUACCGAUUGCGAAGGCAGUCUGCUGCAGUCACACUGACGCUGAGGCACGAAAGUGCGGGGAUCAAACAGG